rnacentral:rRNA from 1 species
GGAGGGUGCGAGCGUUAAUCGGAAUUACUGGGCGUAAAGCGCGCGCAGGCGGCUGGGUCAGUCGGAUGUGAAAGCCCCGGGCUUAACCUGGGAAUUGCAUUCGAUACUGCCCGGCUAGAGUAUGGGAGAGGGAAGUGGAAUUUCCGGUGUAGCGGUGAAAUGCGUAGAUAUCGGAAGGAACACCAGUGGCGAAGGCGGCUUCCUGGCCCAAUACUGACGCUCAGGUGCGAAAGCGUGGGGAGCGAACAGGGAUUAGAUACCCUGGUAGUCCACGCUGUAAACGAUGAGAACUAGAUGUUGGGAGGGUUAGCCUCUCAGUGUCGCAGCUAACGCGUUAAGUUCUCCGCCUGGGGAGUACGACCGCAAGGUUG